UAAGACUUAUAACAUAGUGUUAAUGCAUUGUAUCCCAUUAGAACUCUGCAUUUAAGUGUGCUUAGGGUAGAGCAGUAAUGGGAUGGGUGACCGCCCAGGAAGUGCUAGUGUUUUAC
rfam:Picea glauca, whole genome shotgun sequence.